GUUGUUGUGUUGGCCACUACUCCGCUUACUCUCUCUUGUGCUUGGUUGGUUCUUGGCAAGAGUGCCGGCUGUUUCUAUGACUGGACGACUUAUUUCUAUUAGCCUCUUCAAAGUUUGUCUUCGGUUUUGGUUAUAAGAGUGCAGUCUCAUCUUGUGUCUGCCCUAGUUGUUGUAUGUGUUGCCUUUUGUUUGGGUUUGAGAAUCCCGUUUGUGGGCUAUGUUUCCGGGGAUAGUAAUGUGUUUCCGCCGGCUUUUGGUUAUCAUGCUUGUAUGUUCUCAGUUUUAUCAAUCAAUCAAAUUCAGAAGGGAAAAAAAAAAA
rnacentral:lncRNA from 1 species